UCAAGCUACAAAGGGCGCAUGGUGAAUGCCUUGGCACUAGGAGCCGAUGAAGGACGUGAUAAGCUGCGAUAAGCUUUGGGUAGGCGCAAAUAGCCAGUGAUCCAGAGAUUUCCGAAUGGGGAAACCUACAUAGUCAACACUAUGUACUGUAUACUGAAUAAAUAGGUAUAUAGAGGUAAACCCGGGGAACUGAAACAUCUAAGUACCCGGAGGAAGAGAAAGAAAAAUCGAUUUCCUGAGUAGCGGCGAGCGAAAUGGAAAGAGCCCAAACCUAAGUCUUUGACUUAGGGGUUGAGGACAGAACAUAAAUGCACAAAUUUUUUAGUCGAAGACAGCUGGAAAGCUGCUCCGCAGAGGGUAAUAGGCCCGUAGGCGAAAGAAAAUGAGUGAAAGUUCUGCUCCAGAGUACCACGAGACACGUGAAACCUUGUGGGAAGCAGGGAGGACCACCUCCCAAGGCUAAAUACUACCUAGUGACCGAUAGUGAAGAAGUACCGUGAGGGAAAGGUGAAAAGAACCCCGGAAGGGGAGUGAAAUAGAACCUGAAACCGUGUGCCUACAACCGGUCGAAGCACUUUAUAUGUGUGACGACGUGCUUUUUGUAGAACGAGCCAACGAGUUACGAUAUGUAGCGAGGUUAAGUACUUAAGGUACGGAGCCGAAGGGAAACCGAGUCUGAAUAGGGCGCAUAGUUGCAUGUCGUAGACCCGAAACCGGGUGACCUAUCCAUGGCCAGGAUGAAGCGACAGUAAAAUGUCGUGGAGGUCCGAACCACGUUGGUGUUGAAAAACCAUGGGAUGAGCUGUGGAUAGCGGAGAAAUUCCAAUCGAACUCGGAGAUAGCUGGUUCUCCUCGAAAUAGCUUUAGGGCUAGCGUCGGUUAAUUGAGUAAUGGAGGUAGAGCACUGAAUAGGCUAGGGGGCAUAGCGCUUACCGAACCUUAUCAAACUCCGAAUGCCAUAUACUUGUAUUCCGGCAGUCAGACUGCGAAUGAUAAGAUCCGUAGUCAAAAGGGAAACAGCCCAGACCAUCAGCUAAGGUCCCAAAGUGUAAGUUAAGUGGUAAAGGAUGUGGGAUUUCUAAGACAACUAGGAUGUUGGCUUAGAAGCAGCCACUCAUUUAAAGAGUGCGUAAUAGCUCACUAGUCAAGAGAUCCCGCGCCGAAGAUGUCCGGGGCUAAAACUUACCACCGAAGCUAUGGAUGUGUACUAUGUACACGUGGUAGAGGAGCUUUCUGCAUUGGCUGAAGUCGUACCGUAAGGAGCGGUGGACGAUGCAGAAGUGAGAAUGUUGGCAUAAGUAGCGAGAGCAAGGUGAGAAUCCUUGCGGUCGAAAACCUAAGGUUUCCUGAGGAAGGCUCGUCCUCUCAGGGUUAGUCGGGACCUAAGCCGAGGCCGAAAGGCGUAGGUGAUGGACAACGGGUUGAUAUUCCCGUACCACUUGCAGACGUUAUUACAAACGGGGUGACGCAGGAGGAUAGGUUGUGCAUACUAUUGGAUGUAUGUCUAAGCAUUUAGGAGUAGCUAGUAGGAAAAUCCGCUAGCCGAAUCUGAGGUGUGAUGGGGAAGCCCUACGGGGUGAAGUAACUGAUUCCACGCUGCCAAGAAAAGCCUCUAUGGAGGAAGCAAGUGCCCGUACCGCAAACCGACACAGGUAGGUGAGGAGAGAAUCCUAAGACCAUCGGAAGAACUGCUGUUAAGGAACUCGGCAAAUUGACCCCGUAACUUCGGGAGAAGGGGUGCCUACGCAAGUANAUGUACUAUGUACAUGUGGUAGAGGAGCUUUCUGCAUUGGCUGAAGUCGUACCGUAAGGAGCGGUGGACGAUGCAGAAGUGAGAAUGUUGGCAUAAGUAGCGAGAGCAAGGUGAGAAUCCUUGCGGUCGAAAACCUAAGGUUUCCUGAGGAAGGCUCGUCCUCUCAGGGUUAGUCGGGACCUAAGCCGAGGCCGAAAGGCGUAGGUGAUGGACAACGGGUUGAUAUUCCCGUACCGCUUGCAGACGUUAUUACAAACGGGGUGACGCAGGAGGAUAGGUUGUGCAUACUAUUGGAUGUAUGUCUAAGCAUUUAGGAGUAGCUAGUAGGAAAAUCCGCUAGCCGAAUCUGAGGUGUGAUGGGGAAGCCCUACGGGGUGAAGUAACUAAUUCCACGCUGCCAAGAAAAGCCUCUAUGGAGGAAGCAAGUGCCCGUACCGCAAACCGACACAGGUAGGUGAGGAGAGAAUCCUAAGACCAUCGGAAGAACUGCUGUUAAGGAACUCGGCAAAUUGACCCCGUAACUUCGGGAGAAGGGGUGCCUACGCAAGUAGGUCGCAGAGAAUAGGCCCAAGCAACUGUUUAGCAAAAACACAGGUCUCUGCUAAAGCGAAAGCUGAUGUAUAGGGGCUGACGCCUGCCCGGUGCUGGAAGGUUAAGGGGAAUGCUUAGCGCAAGCGAAGGUGUGAACUUAAGCCCCAGUAAACGGCGGCCGUAACUAUAACGGUCCUAAGGUAGCGAAAUUCCUUGUCGGGUAAGUUCCGACCCGCACGAAUGGCGUAAUGAUUUGGGCACUGUCUCAACAGCAAAUCCGGCGAAAUUGUAGUACCAGUGAAGAUGCUGGUUACCCGCGAUUGGACGGAAAGACCCCGUAGAGCUUUACUGUAGUUUAGCAUUGAGUUUCGGUAUUGUCUGUACAGGAUAGGUGGGAGACUGAGAAGCAUGGCCGUCAGGUUGUGUGGAGUCAACCUUGGGAUACCACCCUGACAGUACUGGAAUUCUAACUGGAGGCCAUGAAUCUGGUCACAGGACAUUGCUAGAUGGGCAGUUUGACUGGGGCGGUCGCCUCCUAAAAAGUAACGGAGGCGCCCAAAGGUUCCCUCAGAACGGUCGGAAAUCGUUCGAAGAGUGCAAAGGCAGAAGGGAGCCUGACUGCGAGACCUACAAGUCGAGCAGGGACGAAAGUCGGGCUUAGUGAUCCGGUGGUACCUCGUGGGAGGGCCAUCGCUCAACGGAUAAAAGCUACCUCGGGGAUAACAGGCUGAUCUCCCCCAAGAGUCCACAUCGACGGGGAGGUUUGGCACCUCGAUGUCGGCUCGUCGCAUCCUGGGGCUGAAGUAGGUCCCAAGGGUUGGGCUGUUCGCCCAUUAAAGCGGCACGCGAGCUGGGUUCAGAACGUCGUGAGACAGUUCGGUCCCUAUCCGUCGCGGGCGUAGGAAAUUUGAAGGGAGCUGUCCUUAGUACGAGAGGACCGGGAUGGACAGACCUCUGGUGCACCAGUUGUCACGCCAGUGGCACAGCUGGGUAGCUAUGUCUGGAAGGGAUAAACGCUGAAAGCAUCUAAGCGUGAAGCCCACCCUAAGAUGAGAUUUCCCAUAACGUAAGUUAGUAAGACUCCUGGAAGACUACCAGGUUGAUAGGUGAGGGGUGUAAGCAUGGUAACAUGUUCAGCUGACUCAUACUAAUAAGUCGAGGGCUUGAUCU
rnacentral:rRNA from 1 species